AGCACAAUGAGUUUAAGGUACAACUUCUUGGUUCCUGUAGGUUGUCUUGCCCAAGAAACACGAAUAUAACUUUUCUCGUGAUGAGGCAGGAAACCCAGAGAAGGCUCAGAUCACCUGGGCUCUAUCAGGUGGACAGUUAGAUUAGGCUUU